GACGAACGCUGGCGGCGUGCUUAACACAUGCAAGUCGAACGGAAAGGCCCUGCUUUUGUGGGGUGCUCGAGUGGCGAACGGGUGUGUAACACGUGUGUAACCUGCCCUUGUCUUUGGGAUAACUUCAGGAAACUGGGGCUAAUACCGGAUAGGAGCUCCUGCUGCAUGGUGGGGGUUGGAAAGUUUCGGCGGUUGGGGAUUGACUCGCGGCUUAUCAGCUUGUUGGUGGGGUAGUGGCUUACCAAGGCUUUGACGGGUAGCCGGCCUGGGAGGGUGGACGGCCACAUUGGGACUGAGAUACGGCCCAGACUCCUACGGGAGGCAGCAGUGGGGAAUAUUGCACAAUGGGCGGAAGCCUGAUGCAGCGACGCCGCGUGCGGGAUGACGGCCUUCGGGUUGUAAACCGCUUUCGCCUGGGACGAAGCGUGAGUGACGGUAACGGGUAAAGAAGCACCGGCUAACUACGUG
rnacentral:rRNA from 1 species